rnacentral:tRNA from 1 species
GGAGACGUGGCCGAGUGGUCGAAGGCGCUCCCCUGCUAAGGGAGUAGACGGCUUAAACCGUCUCGAGGGUUCGAAUCCCUUCGUCUCCGCCA